rnacentral:rRNA from 1 species
GAUGAACGCUGACAGCAUGCUUAACACAUGCAAGUCAACCUGAACUUCGGUUUGGGUGGCGGACGGGUGAGUAACGCGUAAAGAACUUGCCUCACAGAUAGGGACAACUUUUGGAAACGAAUGCUAAUACCUGAUAUUAUGAUUAUAUGGCAUCGUAUAAUCAUGAAAGUUAUAUGGGCUGUGAGUGAGCUUUGCGUCCCAUUAGCUAGUUGGAGAGGUAACGGCUCACCAUGGCGAUGAUGGGUAGCCGGCCUGAGGGGGUGAUCGGCCACAAGGGGACUGAGACACGGCCCUUACUCCGACGGGAGGCAGCAGUGGGGAAUAUUGGACAAUGGACCAAGAGUCUGAUCCAGCAAUUCUGUGUGGACGAUGAAGUUUUUCGGAAUGUAAAGUGCUUUCAGUUGGGAAGAAGAAAAUGACGGUACCAACAGAAGAAGUGACGGCUAAAUACGUG